UACGAAGGGGGCUAGCGUUGCUCGGAAUCACUGGGCGUAAAGGGUGCGUAGGCGGGUCUUUAAGUCAGGGGUGAAAUCCUGGAGCUCAACUCCAGAACUGCCUUUGAUACUGAGGAUCUUGAGUUCGGGAGAGGUGAGUGGAACUGCGAGUGUAGAGGUGAAAUUCGUAGAUAUUCGCAAGAACACCAGUGGCGAAGGCGGCUCACUGGCCCGAUACUGACGCUGAGGCACGAAAGCGUGGGGGAGACAAAGCAG
rnacentral:rRNA from 1 species